rnacentral:lncRNA from 13 species
AUGCUGAACUCGUUGGCGGCUCAGUUUCAGGAGGGGCGUGUGAUCCAAUCACCUAACUUGGAUCUCUGCUGUCCUCUAGUGGUCUUUUACCUGCAAGGCAAUUCCUGGUUAUACAUACAGCAUCUCUGUGGCGGCAGGCAUGGUCAGGUAGGUAUGGCGUUUUCUUUGGAGAUUGCUUUGCCGUUAUCACGGUAUGGGAGUUUUCUAACGUAUCAAUUAUUGACACUUUAUAAUCCUUUACAUGAAUAAGUAUUUAUGAAAUGUAUGCUAAUACAUAUUUAUUAAUGUUUAUGAAUGCUUCAUACAUUUUUAUGAAUGUAAUAAAAUCGUAUAAGUUGUUUAUGAAUGCUUAGUCGUGAGAGAGAGAGAUUGAUUGGGUUGCUACAUGGUUUUCAUGAUAUAAACCCUGGAAUGAUGCCCUCAGUCUUACUGGCCUUUACAGUAUAACUUCUUUGAUCUCCCAAGGAUAUAUGUCCCAUUUUUCCUGAUGAACAAUGAACAUCUAGUACAAUACUAAACAUAAAUUAUAGGUGGCACCAGAGGGUGGUGCUGUCUGCUAAGGAAUCAGUGCAAAAGAGAAAACCUUUGCCUCUAGCAGCAGCCCCCAAGCACCUUAGUUGAUUUGAAAGGUGUAGAUGGGUUUGAGGAAUAUGGCUAGCAUUCCACCUAUCAGGUUAAAGAUAACAAAUGGCUCAUACCUAUCCAACUUUUUCAGACCUCUGAGAAGUACAUAGGAGCUAGGGCCCUGGAGCUAGGCACUGUUUCUGGAUCAGUCGAUAGCCAACCUGAUCUGUUCUUGUGACCCCCUUCAGAUCCAGGAGGUCAUGUGCGCUUGCUUUAUAGUCCUAUACUGUUGUACUGGACAGUUAAAGAGGCACAGCUGCAACUGGAAAACUCAACUCAGGUUUUAAACACCAGCCUAGCGAUAGUGCUAAGAACAUACCCGGCAUUAUUUCAAUAGAAAAAUCACAACCAUCUCUUUUUUUUAUAUCACUUUAGUUAUUUAACUAUAAUUACCUGCUCUAACAUUCAUAAGUAAAGUUGUGUCAGUGGAUUGAAUUCUAACAUGGGUGGAUAUGCUGAAUAGAGGGGAUGUUGGAUGGCUGCGGCUGAAUUCAGAGGACAACUCCCUCUCCCAGCAGAGAGAAGGUUCCAGGAACAUGUAAAUGCAGGUUGUUGGAGAUAUGAAGAAUACCUUUUGAUUUAGUCACUCCCCAGCAUCUUGGCUCUGUUAGGAUGACUGGGCGUGCCGUGAAAUCCUAACCCUGGGGUUACACGUUUUACCGCUGAGGAUUGUUUACUGAAACCAACCACUGUACUGAAACCCAUUCUAAAGGUAGUAUCUGGAAGAAACUUACCUGUGAUUUCCUUGGAGAGGAGUAAAGGUUUUGCCUGUUGGAACAUCAAGGAUGAGAAUGUUUAUUCUUUAUUUCACUAGUUUUAGUCUACAUUUGGAUACAGUUAAAUAAACAUGAAUAUUGUCAACAUAAUUGAGAGUGGGAUACUCAUGUUCAUAUCUAUUGAAAAUUCAAUGGUGAUUUUUAAAUAUAAAUUAUUUUCUAGAAAUUCCUCUCGAAUGUUCUAAAGACCCUCAGAGGCGUGUUACUGCAGGCACAAGGUAUAUCCGCACAAAUCAAGUCGAGACAACUCCCUUUUCCAAAUAAAACGCAGGAGCUAACGGGAGACAGGAGAGAACUAUAGAUCUAAUUUAGUUACCGUGUUACAUAAUCUCUAAAUAUGCCUUUCAUAAUACCUGACCUCUAAAUAAAAUAAAAACACUUACCUUUAAAAACAACAGCAAGGUUUAUUUGUCUAUUAUCACACAGGACAUAAUUUGAUGCAGCUCAGAAAAUACAAUGUAAACAAAACUAUUUAGGUAAACUCUUACAUUAAAAAAAUUGCAUAAGGGUAUAGUAACCACCCAAUCCUAUUUAUUUGUUUGUAAUAUUCUAACCCACAAAUGCACAGUAAAAUAAAUCACAUUUAUAUUUCAGCAGUGGUAGAAAAAGUAUCCAUUUGUCAUACUUGAGUGAAUGUAAAGAUACCUUAAUAGAAAAUGACUGAAGUAAGCCACCCAGUAAAAUACUAGUUGAGUAAAAGUCUAAAAGUAUUUGGAAUUAAACCUUAUUAAGUAUCAGAAGUAAAAGUAUAAAUCAUUUCAAAUUGAUUAUAUUAAGCAAACUAAAUGGCUAAACUUUAUUUAUUUUUGAUUUGUUUGGAUAGCUAGAGGCACACCCCAACACUCAGAAGCAUUUGUGUUUAGUGAGUCCGCCUGAGCAGAGGCAGUAGGAUGACCAGGGAUUUUCUCUUGAUAAGUGUGUGAAUUGGACCAUUUUCCUGUCACGCCAAGCAUAAAAAAUGUAACGAGUACUUUUGGGUGUCUAUAUGGAGUACAAAGUACAUUAUUUUCUUUAGGAAUGUAGUGAAGUAAAAGUUGUCAAAAAUAUAAAUAGUAAAGUACAGAUACCCCAAAAAACGACUUAAGUAGUACUUCAAAGUAUUUUUUACUUAAGUACUUUACACCACUGUAUUUCAGUGCAUUUUUGAGAAGAUACUGCUCACAGCAUUAGCAAGCUACAGUGAAUUCGGAAAGUAUUCAGACCCCUUUUCCACAUUUUGUUACAUUACCGCUUUUUAUGGAUUAAAAUCCCCCCAAAAUCCUCAGCAAUCUACACACAAUACCCCAUAAUGGCAAAGCGGAAACAGGUUUUUAGAAAUGUUUGCAAAUGUAACAAAAGUAAAAACAGAAAUAUCUUAUUUACAUAAGUAAUCAGACCCUUUGCUAUGAGAAAUUGAGCUCAGGUGCAUCCUGUUUCCAUUGAUCAUCCUUGAGAGUUUUCUACAACUUGAUUGGAGUCCACCUGUGGUAAAUUCAAUUGAUUGGACAUGAUUUGGAAAGGCUCCUGUCUAUAGAAGGUCCCACAAUUGGCAGCGCAUGUCCGAGCAAAAAAAACAAGCCAUGAGGUCAAAAGAAUUGUCUGUAGAACUGCGAGAGAGGAUUGUGUUGAGGCACAGUUCUGGUGAAGGGUACCCAAAAAAAUUCUGCAGCAUUGAAGGUCCCCAAGAACACAGUAGCCUCCGUUAUUCUUAAAUGGAAGAAGUUUGGAACCACCAAGACUCUUCCUAGAGCUGGCUGCCAGGCCAAACUGAGCAAUCGGGGGAGAAGGGCUCAGACCAUGAGAAACAAGAUGCUCUGGUCUGAUGAAAGCACGAUUUAACUCUUUGGCCUGAAUGCCAAGCGUCACGUCUGGAGUUAACCUGUCACCAUCCCUACGGUGAAGCAUGGUGGUGGCAGCAUCAUACUGUGGGGACGUUUGUCAGCAGCAGGGACUAGGAGACUAGUCAGGAUUUAGGGAAAGAUGAAUGGAGCAAAGUACAGAGAGAUCCUUGAUGAAAACCUGCUCCAGAGCGGUCAGCACCUCAGACUGGGGCGAAGGUUUACCUUCCAAUGAAUGUCCUUGAGUGGCCCAGCCAGAGCCUGGACAUGAACUUGAUUGAACAUCUCUGGAGAGACCUGACAGUAGCUGUGCAGCAACACUCCCCAUCCAACCUGACAGAACUUUUUAUUUAACCUUUAUUUAACUAGGCAAGUCCGUUAAGAACAUAUUCUUAUUUACAAUGACGGCCUUACGGAAGGCAAAAGGCAUCCAGCGUGGACGGGGGCUGGGAUUUAAUUAUACUUUUAAAUUUAUUUUUAAUAUAGGUCAAAACACACAUCACGACAGGAGAGACACCACAACACUACAUAAAGCGAGACCUACGACAACAACAUAGCAUGGCAGCAACACAUGAAAACACAGCAUGAUAGCAACACAACAUGUCAACAACAUGGUAGCAACACAACAUGGCAGCAGCACAACAUGGUACGAACAUUAUUGGGCACAGACAACAGCACAAAGGGCAGGAAGGUGAGACAACAAUACAUCACAUGAAGCAGCCACAACUGUCAGUAAGAGUGUCCAUGAUUGAGUCUUUGAAUGAAGAGAUGGAAAUAAAACUGUCCAGUUUGAGUGUUUGUUGUAGCUCGUUCCAGUCACUAGCUGAAGCAAACUGAAAAGACGAGCAACCCAGGGAUGUGUGUGCUUCGGGGACCUUUAACAGAAUGUGACUAUCAGAAUGGGUGUUGAAUGUGGAAGAUGAG